GUGUCUGUGGGGCAAUCGGUUAGUGCGUUUGGCUGUGAACUGAAAGGUUUGUGGUUCAAGCCCACCCAGGGACG
rnacentral:tRNA from 1 species